rnacentral:lncRNA from 1 species
GAAGCGGAGCGCGUAGUGGGUGUUUGGCGCGCGCGUGGCGGUGGACGUUAAACUCCGCUCCGGAGCGGGCGGGCGACAAGCAAGUCCGCCCGUCCCGGCGCCUUCGUGACGCCUCCCGCAAUUUUGCAUGCUGCUUGAUAAAAGCCUCAGCACUUGGCAAACUCUACUGUGACUCUUCAUGGCUCUACCCCUGUAUCAGCAUACUUGAAGACAGCACAGCAUGGAUUCAAAUCUUAGACACAAGAAGUCUUUUGAAUAAGAAAAAAACCUGAUCUGAUUACAGUGCAAAACAAAUCACGUGUAGAUGUCCAGGUGUGUGCAUCACAAAUUGAAAGUAGUGAAGAGUUCAAGGGAACAGUUUUUAAGUCUGGAAUUUGAUUGCAUAAAUUCUCUCAAGCCUGAGUGUAAUUAAUGAAAUAAAUGUGUGUGUAAAUACA